UCUGAUGUGUCUCCGGAUUGUUUUUGAAGUUGCGCGUCUCGCGGCGCAUUCAUUUCGGUGCCUGUUAGCAGUUAGCUUGUUGGUAACAUUGUCUGCGCCAAAUGAAAGGAGUAAAGUUAACCUGAUUGAUUUGUGUGAUGGUUCGCUAAAAGUUGACCAUUCUUGAUGCAAACAUGGCGCUUUCGAUGGAAACGCAGCUCCAGAGCAUCUUUGAGGAUGUUGUGAAAACUGAGAUGAUAGAAGAGGCCUUUGCUGGGAUGUUUAUGGACACUCCAGAGGAUGAGAGGACUAAACUGAUCAGUUGUCUGGGAGCCUUCAGACAAUACUGGGGGACACUACCACAGGAGUCCCAUGAACAGUGUGUGCAGUGGAUAGUUCGGUUUAUACACAGCCAGCACAGUCCCAAAAGGAUCUCCUUCCUCCACGACUGUCUAGCAAUGGCUGUGGAGACCAGUCUGUUACCGCCCAGGAUGGUGUGUGGCGCUCUGAUAAGCUCGGACAGUUUAGAAUGGGAGAGGACUCAGUUGUGGGCAUUAACUUUCAAACUGAUUCGCAAGAUCAUUGGAGGGGUGGACUACAAGGGUGUUCGAGACCUGUUGAAAGCUGUACUGGAUAAAAUUCAAACCAUUCCUACCACCGUCAGCUCAGCUAUAGUCCAACAGCUUCUGGCUGCCAGAGAGGUGGUAGAGUAUACCCUAGACAGAAAUGCCUGCCUCCUGCCAGCCUACUUUGCUGUUACAGAAAUCAGAAAACUGUAUCCAGAGGGACAGCUGUCACACUGGCUGCUAGGAAGUUUAAUAUCAGACUUUGUGGACAGUUUCAGACCCACAGCCAGAAUCAACUCUAUCUGUGGUCGGUGCAGCUUGUUACCAGUAGUGAAUAACAGCGGGGCCAUCUGUAACUCCUGGAAGUUAGAUCCCACUACUCUGCGCUUCCCUCUGAGAGGCAUGCUGCCGUUUGACAAGGACCUGUUUGAGCCACAGACAGGCUUGCUGCGCUAUGUGUUAGAACAGCCAUAUUCAAGAGAAAUGGUGUGCAACAUGUUAGGACUCAACAAGCAGACUCUGAACAUUGCCCAGCAUAAGCAGCGUUGCCCAGUGCUGGAGGAGCAGCUGGUGGAUCUCGUGGUGUACGCUAUGGAGCGCUCCGAGACCGAAGAACACUUUGACGCUGACGUCGGAGGAACUAGCCAGUUGCUGUGGCAGCACCUCUCCUCCCAGCUCAUCUUCUUUGUGUUGUUUCAGUUUGCAAGCUUCCCUCACAUGGUGCUGUCGUUACAUCAAAAGCUUGCAGGUAGAGGUCUCAUUAAAGGGAGAGACCACUUGAUGUGGGUUUUGCUGCAAUUCAUAUCGGGAAGUAUUCAGAAGAACGCCUUAGCUGACUUUCUGCCCGUCAUGAAGCUCUUUGACCUGCUUUACCCAGAAAAAGAGUGCAUUCCAGUUCCAGACAUUAACAAGCCCCAGUCCACUCAUUCCUUUGCGAUGACCUGCAUUUGGAUCCACCUGAACCGCAAAGCUCAGAACGACAACUCCAAACUCCAAAUACCCAUACCACACUCUCUGAAACUACACCAUGAGUUUCUCCAGCAGUCGCUUCGUAGCAAGACUCUUGGCAUGUCCGACUACAAGAUAGCCCUGCUGUGUAACGCCUACAGCACCAACUCAGAGUGCUUCACUUUGCCGAUGGGCGUCCUGGUAGAGACUAUCUAUGGAAACGGAUCUAUGAGGAUCAACCUACCUGGCACCAACUGCAUGGCGUCAGGGUCUGUCACCCCGCUGCCCAUGAACCUGCUGGAUUCACUUACAGUGCAUGCAAAGAUGAGUCUGAUCCACAGUAUUGCCACACGGGUAAUAAAGUUGGCCCAUGCCAAAUCCAGCAUCGCCCUGGCCCCAGCACUGGUAGAAACAUACAGCAGACUGUUGGUCUACAUGGAGAUCGAGUCAUUGGGAAUCAAAGGAUUCAUCAGCCAGUUGCUGCCUAACGUUUUUAAGUCUCAUGCGUGGGGAAUCCUUCACACAUUAUUGGAGAUGUUCAGCUACAGGAUGCACCACAUUCAGCCACACUACAGAGUCCAGCUACUGAGUCAUCUGCACAGUCUGGCUGCUGUGCCCCAGACCAACCAGAACCAGCUGCAUCUAUGUGUUGAGAGCACAGCUCUGCGGUUGAUCACAGCCUUGGGGAGUUCAGAGGUGCAGCCCCAGUUCACUCGCUUCCUCAACGACCCAAAGACGGUUCUGUCAGCUGAGUCUGAAGAGCUGAACCGAGCCUUGAUCCUCACUCUGGCCAGAGCCACACACGUCACAGAUUUUUUCACAGGGUCCGACUCCAUCCAUGGGACUUGGUGUAAAGACAUCCUCCAGACCAUCAUGAACUUCACACCUCAUAACUGGGCCUCACACACACUGUCCUGCUUCCCUGCUCCACUACAGGCGUUCUUCAAACAGAACAAUGUUCCUCAGGAGUCUCGAUUCAACCUGAAGAAGAACGUAGAAGAGGAGUACAGGAAAUGGAAGUCCAUGGCCAACGAGAAUGACAUCAUUACCCACUUCUCCAUGCAGGGCUCACCCCCACUCUUCCUCUGUCUGCUGUGGAAGAUGCUGCUGGAGACGGACCACAUUAACCAGAUAGGCUUCAGGGUCUUAGAGCGCAUCGGGGCUCGUGCACUGGUGGCUCAUGUGCGAACAUUUGCAGACUUCCUUGUCUAUGAGUUCUCAACAUCAGCCGGCGGGCAGCAGCUCAACAAGUGCAUCGAAAUACUCAACGACAUGGUCUGGAAGUACAACAUAGUCACCCUGGACAGACUCAUCCUGUGUCUGGCGAUGCGUAGCCAUGAGGGCAACGAGGCUCAGGUUUGCUACUUCAUAAUCCAGCUGCUGCUGCUGAAGCCCAACGACUUCAGGAACCGCGUCAAUGAUUUUGUCAAGGAGAACGCUCCUGAGCACUGGCUGCAGAGUGACUGGCACAACAAGCACAUGAGCUACCACAAGAAAUACCCAGAGAAGCUGUACUUUGAGGGACUUGCGGACCAAGUCAACCCUCCCAUGCAGCUCCAGCCUCAGUACCUGCCCAUCUACUUUGGCAACGUGUGCCUGCGCUUCCUGCCCGUCUUUGACAUCGUCAUUCACCGCUUCCUGGAGCUUCUUCCUGUCUCCAAGUCUCUGGAAACGCUGCUGGACCAUCUGGGAGGGCUGUACAAGUUCCAUGACCGCCCAGUCACCUACCUGUACAACACACUUCACUACUACGAGCGACAUCUGAGAGACAGAACCAACCUGAAGAGAAAACUGGUGCACGCCAUCAUGUCUUCGCUGAAGGACAACCGUACCCCAGGGUGGUGCCUUAGUGAAACCUAUCUGAAGUUUGGCAUGAACCCUAGAGAGGACAACGUGUGGAUCCCUGAUGACACCUACUACUGCAAGCUGAUUGGACGCCUGGUGGACACCAUGGCUGGCAAGUCACCUGGUCCCUUCCCCAACUGCGACUGGAGAUUCAACGAGUUUCCCAACCCUGCGGCCCACGCCCUACACGUCACCUGCGUAGAGCUGAUGGCUUUGGCCGUGCCGGGAAAAGAUGUCGGCAACGCUCUGCUCAAUGUUGUGUUGAAGAGCCAACCUCUGGUCCCCAGAGAGAACAUCACAGCUUGGAUGAAUGCAAUUGGACUUGUGAUAACCGCACUUCCUGAGCCCUACUGGAUCGUUCUCCACGACCGCAUCGUGUCUGUGAUGGGUUCUCCGGCACUGACGUCAGAGACAGAGUGGGCAGGUUAUCCCUUCGCCUUGCUGGACUUCACAGCCUGCCACCAGAGCUACAGCGAAAUGAACUGCAGCUACGUGCUAGCAUUAGCGCACGCUGUGUGGCAUCACUCAUCCAUCGGACAGCUGUCUCUGAUUCCCAAAUUCCUGUCAGAGACGCUGAAGCCCGUCGUCCAGACAGAGUUCCAGUUACUCUACGUGUAUCACCUGGUGGGGCCAUUCCUGCAGCGCUUCCAGCAAGAGAGGACACGAUGCAUGUUGGAGAUUGGCGUGGCCUUCUACGAGAUGCUCCAGGCGGUCGACCAACACUGCCAACAUCUCAGCUACAUGGACCCAAUCUGUGACUUCCUCUAUCACAUCAAAUACAUGUACACUGGAGACAGCGUGAAGGAGCAGGUGGAGAAAAUCAUCAUGACUUUACGUCCGGCCAUGAAGCUGCGACUGCGCUUCAUCACACACAGCAGCAAGAUAGAGACUUCAUCAGCAGCUGCCACCGUUGCUUCCACUUCCUCCUCCACCCCUCAGCCCCCCACCUCCUCACUAUCUUCGUCCUCUGCCGUCCCCUCCCCCUCGUCCUCUGCACAGCACGCACACACACCUAUAUAGGUAAACACAGUUACAAUCAUGACACAUAUCACAGACCUAAACAUUUUGUUUUGAGUGCUCCUUGAGUUGGAUUUUGAUUAAAGUAAAGGGUUAAAAAUGUUUUUGUUUUUGUACUUUUAUAACAAGAAACCUGGAGAGCUGAUUGUAUUCCCCCAACCUUGUUCAUCAGUGCAUAAAAACCUACUAUUUCCAAAAUCUUAACUUUUCAAAAGUGAAAAACCCCAGCUGAUUUCCUGUCUAGGAAACUCUCUCAGAAUAAAUCACUUUGACAGAAUUCAGAGGUACUGAUUUUAUUUAGAGAGUAUCUCAGAAGUGAAGAAUUCCAACCAAAAAAUGUGAAUUAUCAGAACAGGCAUCUCUAUGCUAUCUCAACAAACCUUACAAUAAUAUGCCCCUCUCUGUAUUUGCUGCAUUAAGGAGGGUCACAAGGACACAAUAUUUCUUGUUAAUAUCAUGGCAUCUUUUGUAUUUUUCUGUUUGUAGUCAAUUUUUAUAUUGUACAUUUUUAGUUCAUUAAAAAAAGAUUUUGGUAA